rnacentral:lncRNA from 1 species
AUACAAUGAAUUUGAUUGAUUACAAGUACUAGAGAUGCAUGAAGAAUGUAUAAAAGUGAGAAGAAAGACUUGUUGAUAUUUAGUCCCAAAUGGGAUAAGAACCCAAAACCAUUGCUUUGAGGUAGUGAAUGGCUUGGAUAAAGUUAUUUUGGGUUAGAGUAUGUUAUAAUACAAUCAAUUUGAUUGAUUACAAGUGCUAGAGAAGCCUGAAGAAUGUUUGAUAGGAGAAGAAAAACUGUUAUUCUUGGUCACAAAUGGGAUAAGAACCCCAAACCAUUGCUUUGAGGCAGUGAAUGGCUUGUAUAAAGUUAUUUUGGGUUAGAAUAUGUUAUAAUACAAUGAAUUUGAUUGAUUACAAGUGCUAGAGAUGCUUGAAGAAUGUUUCAAAGUGAGAAGAAAGACUUGUUGAUAUUUAGUCCCAAAUGGGAUAAGAACCCAAAACCAUUGCUUUG